AAAACAGAAUGAGCCCUCGUGAUUGUCGAGUGCAGCCGAUCAGUGUUUGUUUGUGAACUUGUGCGUGUCUGACAGACUUCCAGAUCACGAGGCAUACGCGCGCAAUCUUUUACGCGAACAUUCGGCGCGAUCAUGCGUGAAGACGAGGAGCGCCGACGGUGCGCAUUAUCCCGCGUGAUGACGCUCCAGCUCCAGCUUGUUUGAGGGUUGGUCUUUAUCUGUGCUCAGAGUUGAUCCUGACGAGGGAAAAGGUGCAGGGCUGUAAAAUUGAAAGAAGAAAUACAUCAAAGAGGGGUAAUGAACCUUGUCCAAUCCCAGCUCGGCCGAAAGGCGCUCUGGGCCAAGAGAUGUGGAGAAUUCUGAUGAAGCCGUUUUCUUUACCGGAGCAAUGGCCUGGGAAUGUGUGUGUGGCUGGCCGUGCAGCUCAGAUGUCGGGAGUAAAUGACGACUGCUAUAUUCAUUAUUACAUCCAACAACAAAACACCUCAAUCGCUUAAUCGGAGACAUCCUUGUCUUCCCCUGCACCAGAGUCGACACAGUGGCGGACAGCUCUCAGCUCACUCAGGGCGGGUCUAAGGCACUAUGAGACAGAGGUUUUUGGCUCUCUGACUUCGUAUCAUUUUAAGCCGCAAAGAGGAUUACAUGCACAAAUCCAAACAAAGCAACAGACGAAUAGUGAGGUGCGAUGUUUCAACUGCCUGAGAAGAGCUAUCGGAAAUAUGUUUACAGGGAUAUAAUGUAAACAGUGUAUUUUUGUAUAAAAUGUCAAUGCAUCACUUGAAAUUAUUUUUUUAUGAUAGAGCUAAACAUUUGCUAUUAUAACUCAUCUUCGGCAUUAUGUUACUUUGUGAAAAAUAAACCAUGCAGAUUUAUACAUUUAAAGAGAUAGUCCACCAAAAAAAUGAAAACCUGUGUGAUUUUCUUUAU